AAUAGAUACCCUGGUAGUCCACGCCCUAAACUAUGGAUGCUAGCUGUUAUGAGUAUCGACCCUCGUAGUAGCGAAGCUAACGCGUUAAGCAUCCCGCCUGUGGAGUACGAGCGCAAGCUUAAAACAUAAAGGAAUUGACGGGGACCCGCACAAGCGGUGGAGCGUGUUGUUUAAUUCGAUGAUAAGCGUAGAACCUUACCAAGGCUUGACAUCCCUGGAAGGUCUCCGAAAGGAGACUGUGCCUUCGGGAAUCAGGUGACAGGUGCUGCAUGGCCGUCGUCAGCUCGUGUCGUGAGAUGUUUGGUUAAGUCCAUCAACGAGCGCAACCCUUAUAAAUAGUUGAAUUUUUCUAUUUAGACCGCCUCGGUAACGGGGAGGAAGGAGGGGAUGACGUCAGGUCAGUAUUGCCCUUAUGCCUUGGGCUACAAACACGCUACAAUGGCCGGUACAAAGGGCUGCCAACCCGCGAGGGGAGCAAAUCCCAUCAAAACCGGUCCCAGUUCGGAUAGCAGGCUGAAACUCGCCUGCUUGAAGUCGGAAUCG
rnacentral:rRNA from 1 species